ACUGGUUGAGAUGGAGUUGGAAAUUUCGAAGGUUUACAUCACAUCACAACAAAUUUGCCGUCCACCGGUGUUGGGAAAAUCUGACAUUCGAACAGUUUCGCGCUGCAAAAUUUGUAUCGUAUAACACUUUUUGGCUGAGGGUGAUAGAAAAACACAUUGUUUUGCAACACCUAACCAAGUGAUAGAGUCGGCGUUGCAAUACAGUAUUCGUGCAUGAAACGACUCGGUGCUGCCAUCUUUCUUAUGUUCAAAACCUCAGUUUAGGGGAAAAAAGGAAAUUGAGUAAUUUUAGGAUUUUAAUAGAAAAUUAUAUUUUAAUGUUUCAAAAAUACAUUUAUCACUUGAAUUGUUACGAUUUACAAAAAAAAUAAAUCAACUCUUUAAAACUUAAAGUCAAUUUUUUCGAUACCCUAGCCAAUUGCGUGCACCAUCACUUUUCUGAAACGCAGAGAUGCCAGAUAGUUGAAUAACUUCACGAUAUUGUGAUAUUCAUUUAUUAAUUGCAUUGAUGCAGAGACCGAAAAAUUUAUCGUCGGGAACAUUGAUCGAGCAACCGGUGAUUGUCGGGAUCCGUCCGGACAACCCUUUUUAGGGAAAAUCAGUGUUGGUCAAGUGAUAUCGGUACUAGAUUCACAGCAAGCCAACCAUAAACAAAUGAUCCAAUAAGUUGUCCCUGUUUUUUCCUGCGGCCCAGGUCAGCAGUUGAAACAAGGGCACACGUUCAAGGCAAACAAAUAAGGAAACAAACUGGAUGCAGCCGGAAAGAUGGCUCGUUUUCAUCUACCAGCAAAAAGGGAGGCUGCGGAUCGGAUGCUCCCAAGAGCAUGGAAUUUGUCCAGAAGGCUUGCUGCAAUCGAUCCCAGGAUAUGCCGAAGAAGUGCAAAUCGAAUUAGCGCUUCAAAAAUGAUUAUUUCGGAACAGUUCAGAAAUAUAAUCAGCUUCUAAUUACCCCGGUGUACCUUAAUUACUGGAACUAAUACCCCCGAACUUAGUAUUGAGUAUGCCUAUCAGAACUUAGUUUUGCUAUUGCCCAGUCAAACUCAAAGUUGAGGGAAGCCACCGAAGUGCUUUUUUGAACCAAAACUACUUAAUUUUGAGUUUAAAAUAAAGAGCGUGUGCACACAAAACUUUCGGGGCUCCACUUAGCAAAAUUUCACUGUUACUUUCCGUUAGCAAAAAUAUUUUUUUACUUUUGAGUUAGCAAAAAGCUAAAUUUACUUGAUUUUAGUAAUGAAAAAGGUCAUUUUACUUGAUUUUAGUAAAACGAAGGUUUUUCAGCCGCUAUGUUCACAGACUCCAGCCGCCGCGCCAGUUGGGAGAAAAUUAAAAAGCUGUCGCGAUUAAGUGCGGUUCCGGAUGUUCGUUGCUGGUGGUUCUUGUUGGUGGGCAACUUCACGAAGAAACGGUAGCUAAAUCGACACCGGAUGCUUACAGGUUGAAAGUGCAACACGAAACCCGUAACAGUCCGGCAAUGAAGAAGGACCACAACUGGAAUUUCAACGAGCUGCAUCCGGAAAACACCCCGGUGCUUUCUUUGAUGAAGAUGGCAUGGCAUUUUGCUCGCCAGUAGGUGCGUUCCCAGGAUCGAACCUUCCGUUUAACGAAAAGUGUGAAAAAAAUUUAAAAAAUGUGAAAAUUAAACUAUAAGUGAAUGUAAUUUGUGUAUUCUAUUCAAUAAUCAAAUAUUCCCCUGAUUUUCCAGAGAAAAAAUAA